rnacentral:lncRNA from 10 species
AGCAGGCACGGAAGCCCUCGUGGGAGCCGGGAGUUCCAUGGCGAGGCCCCCCGCUGCUGCCCCAAGAAACGCUUGGGUUUGAGAUCUCAGGAAACACGGAGAGCCCCCACUGCGAUGGUGACGGCCCUGGAGUGGGUGGUGCUAAGGAAAGGGCAGCACACCCUUGAGGGCGGGAAGUGAAUGGGGUGAGAGUUGGCACUGCUGGCCAUGUUUUCCUCCAUUUCCUUAUGGGACUCAGUUUCCUCAAAGGAAGAACCAAAAUGAAUAAAGUCUGAUAUGGUUUGGCUGUGUCCCCACCCAAAUCUCACCUUGAAUUGUAGCUCCCAUAAUUCCCACAUGCAGUGGGAGGGACCCCCUAGGAGGUAAUUGAAUUGGGAGGGUGGGCCUUUUCCGUGCUAUUCUUGUGAUAGUGAGUAAGUCUUAUGAGAUCUGAUGGUUUUAUGAAGGGCAGUUCCCCUCCACACGCUCUCUUGCCUGCCUCCAUGUAAGAUGUGUCUUGGUUCCUCUUCGUCCUCUGCCAUGAUUGUGAGGCCUCCCCAGCCACAUGGAACUGUGAGUCAAUUAAACUUCUUUCCUUUAUAAAUUACGCAGCCUUGGGUAUGUCUUUAUUAGCAGCCUGAGAACAGACUAAUACAGAAUCUAGUUUUUUAUACAAAGAGAUUGAGAAACAGCCCUUGAUUGUGCUGACAAGAUUUUAGGAGCUGUUUAUAAGCGCCCUACUGAGGACUCUGGAGAUGAUCCUUCAUUCUAGAAUUAUAAGGUUAAAGUUGUUUGUUUGUUUUUUCUACUUGCCUAGUCCUUGGUGUAUAUAAAGAAUCUUGUGGUACUUUGGUAUUUAUUAAGAGAUAGAGAGUCUUUAAUUUUUGAAUACAUUGGAUCAAUUUUUAUAUAGUAUUGCAUUUUUUAUAACCCUUAUUUACUUUUUAUUUUUAAACCCCACCGUCUUCUCUAUUCUCUUGACCCAGAUGUCAUGUAAUAAGUUAUGACAUUAUACAUUUUCACCUUAGAGCUAUGUUCUGGGGCUUGGCGCUCCUAUUAUUUAAAAAAUGGUAUCUUCUAUGAGAAAACAUGAAUAUUAAAGUAGACAUGAAUUUAGUUUUGUAUAAUUAAAUUGAAUCCCAGGAUGGCAAAGAUUUAAAUAUGAUUUAUACUUGGCAUUAGUAGCAGCAAGUAAUACUUGCUGCAGUAACAAAAAACCAUUUCAGUGGCUUUGUACAAUGAAGGUUUAUUUCUCACUCUCAUCACCAUUCAACAGAGAGAGAGCCCUGCUCCAUACAUUCAUUCAGGGAUCCAGGCUCUUUCAAACUGGUUGCUCUGUCAUCUUCUAGUACCAUGGUUCCCUCUACCAAUGCUUUGCAUCCUAUCAACAGGUGACAAAAGAGAGGGCAAAUGGAUAAAUCACAUUCCACUCAACCGCCUCAGUCUGAAGAUGACAUACAUAAUUUCUGCUUACAUCCCAUUCAUAAGAACUAGUCCCAAGGACCUAUCUCAAGAAGAAGAGAACAUGGAUAUUGUUGCAAAGUAUUCUGAUAUCUACCAUACACACACGUUAAAUCAAGUUUAGCCUAAAGCUGCCUCCUUACAUAUUCUAAAUUUAGCCUAAAGGUUUCUCCCUAUAUGGUGAGCUAUACAUUAAAUGGAGGUAUAAACAGACUGUAACCUAUUUCUGUGACAAUCAUUGAGUUUUGGCCAAUCAAAGGGGGCCAACUGUUCAAGCCAUGUUCAAAUAAGGUAAAUGCCAAGAUGUAACCAAUCCAGCUGUUUCUGCACCUCACUUCUGUUUUCUGUGUGUCACUUUCCUUUUUCUGACCAUAACUUUUCCACCAGAUGGCUGCGUUGGAGUCUCUGAGCCUACUCUGGCUUGGGAGGCUGCCCAAUUUGCAAAUCAUUCUUUGUUCAACUAAACCGUGUUAAAUUUAAUUUGUCUAAGUUUUUUCUUUUAGCACACAUGUGCCAGCAAUACAAAGUUUGAGAAGAUACUAAACUAUUUGUUUCAGGGUGAGAAAUGCCAUGUCUCACUCCUUGAUGUACUCCCCCAGAAGAAUCCGCCCACUCAUACCAUACCCAGUCAGGAAUAAGCAAAAUAUGGCCUUGGGAAUUAACUUCCUAUUUCCAGCAUUUGUUUAAACUAAAGAAUCUUGGUGAAGUGUUGACCAAGGGAAUUUUAAAGUAAAACAGCAUAUUUUAAAAGUUGAUUUAAUCUAGUCCUUAAGAAAACAGGCUUUAAGUCCUUUGUAAAUGUGGAAGCCAGCCUACAAGAUGGCCCCCAAUGAUUCUGUUGCUGAUAUUCCACCCUGUGUCAUCUCCUCCCACUUUGAAUAAGGCUGACUUGUGCAGCCAAUAGAAUACUGUGAAAUGAGAGAGUGUGAUUUUUGAGACUGGGUCACUAAAGUCAUUGCAGCUUCCCUUGCUUUCUUUUGGAUUACUUGCUCUUGGGAAAGCCAGUUGCCACAUUGUAAGAACACUCAAGAAGCCAUGCAGAGAGGGCCACAUGAUGAGGAAAUGAAGCCUUCUUCCAACAGCCGGCACCGACUUGCCAGCCAUGUGAGUGCACCAUUUUGGAAUCAAAUCUUCCACCUCUAAUUAGGCCUUCAGAUGGCUGCAGCCCUAGAUGACUUUUGACUACAAUUUCUUGAGACACCCUGAACCAGAACCACUCAGUUAAGCUGCUCCCAAUUUCCUGAUCCAUAGAAAUGGUGUAAGAUAAUAAAUGUUUAUCGUUGUUUUAAGCCACUAAAUUCAGAAGUAAUUUAUUCCAUAGGAACAGCU